GCGCGCGGGUGAAUGCUCGGUGCCGAACACGCCGGGCUGGCGACCCGGUGCGCGCUGGGCACGGUCCGAAUCGCGCGCG
rnacentral:tRNA from 1 species